rnacentral:rRNA from 1 species
UUAAGCAUAUCAAUAAGCGGAGGAAAAGAAACCAACAGGGAUUGCCCUAGUAACGGCGAGUGAAGCGGCAACAGCUCAAAUUUGAAAUCUGGCUUCGGCCCGAGUUGUAAUUUGCAGAGGAUGUUUCUGGCGCGGUGCCUUCCGAGUUCCCUGGAACGGGACGCCACAGAGGGUGAGAGCCCCGUAUGGUUGGACACCAAGCCUGUGUGAAACUCCUUCGACGAGUCGAGUAGUUUGGGAAUGCUGCUCUAAAUGGGAGGUAAAUCUCUUCUAAAGCUAAAUACCGGCCAGAGACCGAUAGCGCACAAGUAGAGUGAUCGAAAGAUGAAAAGCACCUUGAAAAGGGGGUUAAAUAGUACGUGAAAUUGUUGAAAGGGAAGCACUUAUGACCAGACUUGGGCCGGGCGGCUCAUCAGGGGUUCUCCCCUGUGCACUCCGCCCGGCACAGGCCAGCAUCGGUUUUCGCGGGGGGAUAAGACCGUCAGGAACGUAGCACCCUCCGGGGUGUGUUAUAGCCUGGCGGACGAUACCCUCGCGGGGACCGAGGUUCGCGCUCCGCAAGGAUGCUGGCGUAAUGGUCAUCAGUGACCCGUC